AUUGAACGCUGGCGGCAUGCCUUACACAUGCAAGUCGAACGGCAGCACGGGUGCUUGCACCUGGUGGCGAGUGGCGAACGGGUGAGUAAUACAUCGGAACAUGUCCUGUAGUGGGGGAUAGCCCGGCGAAAGCCGGAUUAAUACCGCAUACGAUCCACGGAUGAAAGCGGGGGACCUUCGGGCCUCGCGCUAUAGGGUUGGCCGAUGGCUGAUUAGCUAGUUGGUGGGGUAAAGGCCUACCAAGGCGACGAUCAGUAGCUGGUCUGAGAGGACGACCAGCCACACUGGGACUGAGACACGGCCCAGACUCCUACGGGAGGCAGCAGUGGGGAAUUUUGGACAAUGGGCGAAAGCCUGAUCCAGCAAUGCCGCGUGUGUGAAGAAGGCCUUCGGGUUGUAAAGCACUUUUGUCCGGAAAGAAAUCCUUGACUCUAAUACAGUCGGGGGAUGACGGCACCGGAAGAAUAAGCACCGGCUAACUACGUG
rnacentral:rRNA from 1 species